GUCGAGCGGACCGACGGGAGCUUGCUCCCUUAGGUCAGCGGCGGACGGGUGAGUAACACGUGGGUAACCUGCCUGUAAGACUGGGAUAACUCCGGGAAACCGGGGCUAAUACCGGAUGCUUGAUUGAACCGCAUGGUUCAAUCAUAAAAGGUGGCUUUUAGCUACCACUUACAGAUGGACCCGCGGCGCAUUAGCUAGUUGGUGAGGUAACGGCUCACCAAGGCGACGAUGCGUAGCCGACCUGAGAGGGUGAUCGGCCACACUGGGACUGAGACACGGCCCAGACUCCUACGGGAGGCAGCAGUAGGGAAUCUUCCGCAAUGGACGAAAGUCUGACGGAGCAACGCCGCGUGAGUGAUGAAGGUUUUCGGAUCGUAAAACUCUGUUGUUAGGGAAGAACAAGUACCGUUCGAAUAGGGCGGUACCUUGACGGUACCUAACCAGAAAGCCACGGCUAACUACGUGCCAGCAGCCGCGGUAAUACGUAGGUGGCAAGCGUUGUCCGGAAUUAUUGGGCGUAAAGCGCGCGCAGGCGGUUUCUUAAGUCUGAUGUGAAAGCCCCCGGCUCAACCGGGGAGGGUCAUUGGAAACUGGGGAACUUGAGUGCAGAAGAGGAGAGUGGAAUUCCACGUGUAGCGGUGAAAUGCGUAGAGAUGUGGAGG
rnacentral:rRNA from 1 species